CCUACGGGUGGCUGCAGUGAGGAAUAUUGGUCAAUGGACGCAAGUCUGAACCAGCCAUGCCGCGUGCAGGAAGACGGCUCUAUGAGUUGUAAACUUCUUUUGUACGAGGGUAAACGCAGAUACGCGUAUCUGUCUGAAAGUAUCGUACGAAUAAGGAUCGGCUAACUCCGUGCCAGCAGCCGCGGUAAUACGGAGGAUUCAAGCGUUAUCCGGAUUUAUUGGGUUUAAAGGGUGCGUAGGCGGUCGGAUAAGUUAGAGGUGAAAUCCCGAGGCUCAACUUCGGAAUUGCCUCUGAUACUGUGCGGCUAGAGAGUAGGUGCAGUAGGCGGAAUGUAUGGUGUAGCGGUGAAAUGCUUAGAGAUCAUACAGAACACCGAUUGCGAAGGCAGCUUACUGGACUGUAACUGACGUUGAGGCUCGAAAGCGUGGGGAGCAAACAGGAUUAGAUACCCUUGUAGUC
rnacentral:rRNA from 1 species